rnacentral:tRNA from 1 species
GGAGCGGUGCUCGAGUGGCUGAAGAGGCACGCCUGGAAAGCGUGUAUACGCCAAAAGCGUAUCGGGGGUUCGAAUCCCCCUCACUCCG